rnacentral:rRNA from 1 species
GACGAACGCUGGCGGCGUGCUUAACACAUGCAAGUCGAACGGAAAGGCCCUGCGUUUGUGGUGUUCUCGAGUGGCGAACGGGUGAGUAACACGUGAGUAACCUGCCCUUGACUUUGGGAUAACUUCAGGAAACUGGGGCUAAUACCGGAUAGGAGCCCCUGCUGCAUGGUGGGGGUGGGAAAGUUUCGGCGGGUGGGGAUGGACUCGCGGGUGAUCAGCUUGUUGGUGGGGUAGUGGCAUACCAAGGCAUUGACGGGUAGCCGGCAUGAGAGGGGGACCGGGCACCAGGGGACUGAGAUACGGCCCAGAGUCCUACGGGGGGCAGCAGGGGGGAAUAUGGCACAAUGGGCGGAAGCCUGAUGCAGAAACGCCGCGUUCGGGAUGACGGCCUUCGGGUUGUAAACCGCUUUCGCCUGUGACGAAGCGUGAGUGACGGUAAUGGGUAAAGAAGCACCGGCUAACUACGUG